AUGAGAGUCAGAGGAAGACCUGGGAGUCAGAGGAGAGCAUGGCUGAGGAUCUCCCCCACCAGGCUGCUGGGCCAGGCUGAGGUUCUGACAGCGGCUCAUGGCUCAGGCCUAGAGUGGCAAAUAGCUUCCCACUGUUGCUUGUCUUUAGGUGACUCUACAGACUUGACUGGUCUCCUUAACCCUGCCCACAUCUCUGCCAAGAGUCCUUACCUUCUCCUUAGUCAUCUUCUUGAGGGUGCCAGCACCUUGACUGAUACAAUCACCAACAAAGCAGAGGUACUGCCCCCUUCGCAAGAAGAAGGAGCUUACCUAAUUUCAUUCCUGUGGGUACAUGGACGAUGCAUAGAAAUGGUGACCAACCAUCAUUCUGGGCUUGCCCGGCUUCCUCCUGUGGAGCAGCUUCUCACCUGUUAGCCUCUUCCAUCUCUGACUCCCCUGAUUUUGCCACAGGAUACUUUCUCCUUGCUUGGUUUUCCCCACUUGGCGUUGUAAUCAAACACUAAACUGUUUACCUUAUUUCUGACCCACUGCUGGAUCUCAGCUAAUUUCUUUUUUUUUUCCCCCUGCUUUUGCUCCCCAAAUCCCCACCAGUACAUAGCUGCAUCUUUUUUUUAGUUGUGGGUCCUUCUAGUUGUGGCAUGUGGGACACCGCCUCAACGUGGCCUGACGAGCAGUGUCAUGUCUGUGCCCAGGAUCUGAACCAGCCAAGCCCUACGCCACCAAAGUGGAGCGUGCAAACUUAACCACUCAGCCACGGGGCCGGCCCCCUCACCUAAUUUCUCUAUGUCUGUUCCAGACUUGCAGGACACUUCGAACCAACUCUCAGAGCCACCCACCCCAUCCCACAGCUGCAUCACCUGUAGAUCUGGGGAGGAAAAUCAGGCACCCUUUAAGUCAUAUUAAGCAGGCACCCCUUAAGAAAUAUUAAGGAGGGUGUGACAAGUUCAGAUAUUCGAGGGUGUGACAAGUUCAGAUAUUCUGAGCAGAGUGGGAGAACAAGUUGAUGAGUCCUUAAGUGAGCUGAAUGUGUGUCAGCCAAGUGGAGGCGUUUGGGAGGAGGUGGAUACAAAUGUGGAGCUCAGGACCGCGGUGAAGACAGGGAUAUAGAUUUGGAAGUCAUAGCCAUACUGAAGGCUAUGUGGAUGCGAUUAACCAAGGAGGGGUCUUGAGGGAGUAGAGAAGAGGGACCAGAACAAGCCCUGUGGGGGCAUGACAUUCAAGGGCAAAAAAAACAAGAAGGAGAACCAGGAAGGAGACAAACCCACGGGUAAACAGGCGUCCUGAGAACCUAUCUGACACAUCCAGAACGCUCACGGCGAAGGAGACACACCCAGAGAAGUAUAUGCUCACACAUGUGAUCUAUGCUGUGUGCGAUUUGGUUCCCUCCUCUAGAUCAGGUGGCAGAUAGUGGUUC
rnacentral:lncRNA from 1 species